UGGCGGUCGGGUCGUUUCUGUUCGCGGCGUUUCUGGUGCCGCCGCAGGACAGCGGCGUGCUGGACGCCGACGGCUACC
rnacentral:tRNA from 1 species